UACGUAGGGUGCGAGCGUUGUCCGGAAUUAUUGGGCGUAAAGGGCUCGUAGGCGGUCUGUCGCGUCGGGAGUGAAAACUCAGGGCUUAACCCUGAGCCUGCUUCCGAUACGGGCAGACUAGAGGUAUGCAGGGGAGCACGGAAUUCCUGGUGUAGCGGUGAAAUGCGCAGAUAUCAGGAGGAACACCGGUGGCGAAGGCGGUUCUCUGGGCAUUACCUGACGCUGAGGAGCGAAAGUGUGGGGAGCGAACAGG
rnacentral:rRNA from 1 species